CAAAUAAUAUUCGUAUACUUAUAACUAUGUAUCUAAAACGAAGGACUGAAAGACUGAUCAAAGCUCCAGUGUUUCGGAUCAAAGCCAAACAAAGCAAAGCUCAACUUAGCCGAACCUUGAACACAUUGCGUUUCGAAUGCUCAGAGAGGGUCAUGUGUAUGCCGAAUGGUGGUCGUUACAUAUAUAUACAUCUUCGAAUCGAAUCAGUUAGUCCAUAAGUCCAGAUAUAGCCAAAGCAGUGCAGUACAUUACAGUACCGUGUGUGUAUUAAGUGGUCCUUUCGAUGGAAAUGCCCAUAUACAGAUCAGAAAUCUCCAAUAUCAUACUGAAUAAUAUAUCCCUAUACCUAUUUUGACGAGAAAAUUGGUCAUUUUGAAAACAGAAAUUAUUUCCCAGAGUGGGAUUGUCUAUAUUCAAUUGUUGAAUAGCGCC